rnacentral:lncRNA from 1 species
GAGCAAUACAGCAGCCAAGGACUCUGCUACAGGGGCAGUGCCUCUGAGUGAGUUCACAGGGGCCUCCUCCCACUGACAAACUAAAACCAUGACCGUCUGUGUAGAUCAGAUGCCAUCUCUGGAAGACAGGGACUGAGCCAAGGGAUUGGACCUAGGAUUUGACUCCCAGCUUUGGAAUCCUGCUAACUUCUAGUUUCCACAUCUCAUCAGAAAGUC